rnacentral:rRNA from 1 species
UUGACGGGGACCCGCACAAGCGGUGGAGCAUGUGGUUUAAUUCGAAGAUACGCGAAGAACCUUACCCAGGCUUGACAUGGUACGAACCUUGUAGAAAUAUGAGGGUGCUCUUCGGAGAGCGUACACACAGGUGCUGCACGGCUGUCGUCAGCUCGUGUCGUGAGAUGUUGGGUUAAGUCCCGCAACGAGCGCAACCCCUGUUGUUAGUUGCCAGCGGUUCGGCCGGGCACUCUAGCGAGACUGCCGGUAAUAAACCGGAGGAAGGUGGGAUGACGUCAAAUCAUCAUGCCCCUUAUGACCUGGGCUACACACGUGCUACAAUGGUUGGUACAACGAGUUGCGAGUCGGUGACGGCGAGCUAAUCUCUUAAAGCCAAUCUCAGUUCGGAUUGUAGGCUGCAACUCGCCUACAUGAAGUCGGAAUCGCUAGUAAUCGCGGAUCAGCACGCCGCGGUGAAUACGUUCCCGGGCCUU